UCCCUUGCGGGCAGUUUCGCCGGAAAAAUACAACCGACGAUAGGGGUUGCGCUCGUUGGGGGACUUAACCCAACACCUCACGGCACGAGCUGACGACAGCCAUGCAGCACCUGUGCUGCUGUCCCUUGCGGGCACGAGUAUCUCUACCCGGUGCAACAGCAUGUCAAGCCCUGGUAAGGUUCUUCGCGUCGCAUCGAAUUAAACCACACGCUCCGCUGCUUGUGCGGGUCCCCGUCAAUUCCUUUGAGUUUUAAUCUUGCGACCGUACUCCCCAGGCGGUCCACUUAAUGCGUUAGCUGCAACAAAGACAGGGUCGAAACUGCCUCUAUCUAGUGGACAUCGUUUACGGCGUGGACUAC
rnacentral:misc_RNA from 1 species